CUUUACUCCAUAUACUGGAGUGGAAGGAAAAGUAGAGAGGAUAUGGAUUACAGACGUAGCUUCAGAUGGGGUUCAUUUGGUUGGACACACUAAGGGAUACAUUCAGGUCCUCGUGAUUGGUCCAGAAAGCAUGCUGGGUUCCUCCGCUAUGGUGAAAAUAACAUCUGUAGGUAGAUGGUCAGUCUUUGGAGAAGUGAUUGAGAUCCUCUGCCAAAAUGACAAGGAUGUCCCCUCACACAGGAGUUUUGAUGAAAGGUGCUCCCCAUGCGCCCUUUCAGAAGAAGCUUGUGCCUGUUCAAAAGAGCAAGAACCUUGCUCUGCAACAUCUGAUUGCUGCAAUCAAAGUCCAACUGUGGAAGCAACAACACUGCUAAAGAAUGACCCUAAUCUAGAUAAUCAUAGCAGCAGAAACUUAAUUGGAUGGUUUCUGAGGAACCGUAAGAAUCAGUCUUCCAAAAAGAUGGACUUAACUAGUUCGGAGUCUAAGGAGAAGCCGAUACAGGAUUUAAGUCACCGGAGCGCUUGGAG
rnacentral:misc_RNA from 1 species